rnacentral:rRNA from 1 species
GGAUUGACGCGACGGUCGUGCCUUAAGGGGCGUGAACUGUCGCCGUUGAUUUCUCACCUUCUGGAGAAGCUCGAUGUCCUUAAUUGGAUGUCUUGUGGAACCAGGACCUUUACCUUGAAAAAUUAGAGUGUUUAAAGCAGGCAUUUUGCUCGAAUACAUUAGCAUGGAAUAAUAGAAUAGGACGGCAUGGUUCUAUUUUGUUGGUUUCUAGGAUCACCGUAAUGA